rnacentral:rRNA from 1 species
GGAAGUGGGGAUGACGUCAAGUCCUCAUGGCCCUUAUAGGUGGGGCUACACACGUCAUACAAUGGCUGGUACAAAGGGUUGCCAACCCGCGAGGGGGGAGCCAAUCCCAUAAAGCCAGUCGUAGUCCGGAUCGCAGUCUGCAACUCGACUGCGUGAAGUCGGAAUCGCUAGUAAUCGUGGAUCAGCAUGUCACGGUGAAUACGUUCCCGGGUCUU